rnacentral:tRNA from 1 species
AAUAAGAUGCCUGACUAAAAGGACUAUUUUGAUAGAAUAGAUCAUGUAUAAAUAAUACUCUUAUUA